GAUGAAGAACGUAGCGAAAUGCGAUAAGUAAUGUGAAUUGCAGAAUUCAGUGAAUCAUCGAAUCUUUGAACGCACAUUGCGCCCCCUGGAAUUCCGGGGGGCAUGCCUGUCCGAGCGUCAUUACAACCCUCAAGCUCAGCUUGGUGUUGGGCCCCGCCGCCCCGGUGGGCCCUAAAGUCAGUGGCGGUGCCGUCCGGCUCCGAGCGUAGUAAUUCUUCUCGCUCUGGAGGUCCGGUCGCGUGCUCGCCAGCAACCCCCAAUUUUUUUCAGGUUGACCUCGGAUCAGGUAGGGAUACCCGCUGAACUUAAGCAUAUCAAUAAGCGGAGGA
rnacentral:misc_RNA from 1 species